AUUGAACGCUGGCGGCAUGCUUUACACAUGCAAGUCGAACGAGUGGCGAACGGGUGAGUAAUUUAUCGGAACGUACCGAGUAAUUGGGGAUAACCAAUCGAAAGAUUGGCUAAUACCGCAUAUUAUUCGAGCGGCCGAUAACUGAUUAGCUCGUUGGUGGGGUAAAGGCCUACCAGGGCGACGAUCAGUAGCGGGUCUGAGAGGACGAGCCGCCACACUGGGACUGAGACACGGUCGAGACGACGACGGGAGGCAGGAGUGGGAAAGUUUGGACAAGGGGGGCAAUCCUGAUGCAGCCAUGCCGGGGGUAUGAAGAAGGCCGUCGGGUUGUAAAGUACGUUUGUUAGGGAGGCGGUACCUAAAGAGUAAGGACCGGCUAACGAAGUGCCAGCAGCCGCGGUAAUUC
rnacentral:rRNA from 1 species